ensembl:lncRNA
CGGGCGCGCGCUUCCAAGAAGCCGCAUGGAACGCACAGCUGACAACGGCGUCAUUUUAGGCGCCCUCUCUCCUCUCCCCAUCUGCCCGUCUUGGUGGAAGGCGAAACCAACGGCUUCACCCUUCGUAAAUCCCAUGCAUCUACGACCCAGGCUCACUGCUUAAAGCUAUAUAUAACCCCCACUCAGAUUUCACACCCGUGUCUGCACCACCAACAAGUCCCACCUGGCUCCCCACCUACAGCAGAGGCCUCGGCCACGCCUCAUGCCUAAUGUGUCUCAAAAUUGUCUCCCAAAGAUGGGACACAAUACUACCCAAUGAGACAUGGCUAGAAGCCUUUCAUAUGGAGGGUAGGCAGGGUUCAUGCAGCUGGAUCUAUCUGCUUUCCUACAGAUUUGAGCUUGUCUGCGAAAAGAUUUUAGAUUUUUUCCUCCACUGACAGUGGUGGUCUAGCCUGAAGCCCGGACAGUGGAUGGUUUGGACACGGAGGACAAUGUCUGAUUCCGACACAUCCGGAACCCAUGUUUCCCUCUCCCAUGUCCACGGGGCCGGCUGCUGCUCCAACACUCACAACAAACAGACGGCUGCUUCAUGGGCCUCUGGAAUGCUUUGAAGCUGCCCUUCACUAGACAAACCAAGCACGUACAAUACAUACAGCUUUGUUAUAUUGAUUUAUUUGUACCAUGUAAGUAUCAAUCCAAAAAGGUUUAACCUCAAUUCAAAUUAGCUUAAAUUAUAUUAUAAAAAUAUAAAUGUAUAUUCCAAAUGUAUGUUUUUCAAAAAGGAAUUGAUUGCCUUCCAUGGCGACAAGCAAUUGUACUUUAAUUUAAAUACAAUUGGACACCAAAUUGGAACGUUGUGUUCCCUUUGUAUUGAGUGUGUGAAGUUGUUGAGAGCUGUGGCUCUGAUAGCCUGAAGAGUAGCCUGGUGACAGCUGCAGCCAGAGAAACGCAGAAGAUUCAUAGAACUCAUCUGUUCUACACACGCAUUAUUCUUUGAGGCAAUGCAAUAUGCAAAUAAAAUAUCAUCAGACACUAUCAUUUUUUUUUUUAAUAGUGUUUUUAUACUUUUUGUAAUCUUUCAACAAAUAAACACUUUGCCUCAUAAUGUUUAUGUAUUUCACAUGAACGUCGAAAUCAGAAUUCUGGUAUUGGUAGAUUUUAAUCAAGUAUCACGUACAUCAAUAAUAGUAAAAGACUCGUCAAUAACCCUUUGUCAUUUGUUUUAUUGAUAGCAAUUGUGGCAUUUAAAUGUUGUCAAAGGCUGCA